GAAUUUAAUCCAAAGAACCCAGAGGGAAGUUGCAGUUGGUGGCAGAUGAGAAAGAAAUCACAGUUGAAUCAGAAAGAAGCAGACAUGAGGAGUGUCGCUAAUUUUUUGUCAAUUGUGGAACAUAAGUGCAAAGAUUCAUAAAAUACUGCUGCUGAAAUCUAGGACUGCCUUAUAUCCAGAAUAACGCACCAGGGGCAGCUUCACUGAGGCCAACUUGUUAACAGCUGGAUUAAAUCUAACAAAUACAGCCAUUGAAAUAUUAAGUCUCAUGGAACUCUUUGCUGAGCUUUUGUAGCAACAUUUGGUAAUAACAGUAUCACCAAGCACGUUCCCUGGGGAUAGCAACAGGUGUCCCUUCAAAGACAUGCUGACUCCACCUCACUUGCUUCUCACCUGGUUGAUCAGAGGAACCAGCUGUAAUACAGAAUGUCCUUCUUUUUGGUGACUGCUAACAUACUUCUUCACAGUGCAGUGUCUACAGAGGAGCUGCAGGCCCAUCCAUUCACUGAUGUUACCCUCUCCUGUCGUUUCUCCUUUGUGAAGGGCACCGAAAAUCUUGAGUUUUCUUGGGAAAGAGAAGACAUCAAAGAGGAAUAUGAGGUAGAGGAUGAUAAAGAAAAUUACCUCUUUUUCAAGUACUAUGAUUUUUUUUUAAGUUUUCUCAAAGUGGUUUACCAGUUUCACAAUAACACAGAGCAACUGGAAGAUCAAAACUCCUUGUAUGAGGGAAGAGUAUCUGUGGAUCAGGCUGAAAUUUCUGAGGGGACUCUAUCACUUUUACUAAUAAAUGUGGAUUUCAUGGAUGAAGCUAUCUACAAGUGCUCAGCCAUCACACCAGAUGGAAGAGGUGAAAGUACGAUUAAGCUAAUGGUAGAAGCAGGGUAUCUGGAGUUCAGUGGAGAAACUGGAAUGAAUCCACUCAAAGAGGGGAAGUUUCCAAAAAAUAAAGACAGCAGUGAUAGAUAA
ensembl:lncRNA